CUGCUGCCUUCCGUAGGAGUUUGGGCCGUGUCUCAGUCCCAAUGUGGCCGAUCACCCUCUCAGGUCGGCUAUGUAUCAUCGCCUUGGUGAGCCUUUACCUCACCAACUAGCUAAUACAACGCGGGAUCAUCUUUGAGUGAUGCAAUUGCAUCUUUCAAACUUAAAACUUGUGUUUAAAGUUUUUAUGCGGUAUUAGCAUUCGUUUCCAAAUGUUGUCCCCCGCUCAAAGGCAGAUUCCCCACGCGUUACUCACCCG
rnacentral:rRNA from 1 species